rnacentral:lncRNA from 1 species
CAAAGGAAGAGGUGAUUUGUCUACCCUGGAAGUUGGAGAGAGAGUGUUGCUCAAGAACGAGGCAUUUACAGGGAGGCACAAAUUACACGACAAGUUUGACGAGAAACCCUUCAUCAUUUUAGCCAAGAACGAGGAGGGUGAUUUAUAUAACAUUCAACCUGCCCUUGGAGGGGUUACCAAGUGGGUAAAUAGACGCAGAAUUAUUGCAGAUCCUCGUCAGGAAAAUGAUGGCCUUGAUGGUAUUUUACCCUACCCAGAUGUAGCAGAGCUUGGGCGUGGUAUUAACAUUGGAAAUGACGUUAUCCAUCAAAGUAGUGAUGAUGACGACGACGACGACGAUGACGAUGAGGAGGAUGAUCAUGAGAACGGUUACACUCUUUCAUGGAAGGAGUUACCUCAUCACGUUAUUGACGCAGGUGUGACGGAGCCCAGACGGUCAAGUAGAAUUAACAAAGGAGUGAAUCCUAAUCCUGGUCGACUGCCGAUGUCGGCGAUCACCAGAUUACCCCCCUGAUGGAGUUAAGUGAUGUGCGCAUCGAAAGCGGCGAAGAGGAACCGUUUAGUUGCAUCAGUUGGGAAGGGAUAUAUAUAUAUAUAUUUUCGACAAUUUUUUAGAUAGAGUAUUUCAGCAUGAAAUAAGCGGGGAAGAUUGCCUGGAUAUUCAUGAUUUUCUUUGUUUUUGUUCUAAAAAAAAAAAGAAAAGAGGGAAAAGAAUAGGCUACAAACAGAAUUUGUUUAGGAACUUGUAUUUGAAGGAGAAUUAGGAAAUUCAAGUCUUAUAAGUGGCAUAAAUAUAUGUUAUGUAUAACAAGGCUUCAACAGUUUUUGAUAAGGCAAGCUAAAUAAUGUUGACUUAUUUUUAUGUAAAUAGUUCAGAUUGGCUUGUUAUGCAGGAAAUAAGGUUUAUAUUUUCGUCAUUGGAGCCAGAUUAGUAUGCAGUGAUCUCAUUUGAUAGUACUCAUUGGAGAUUUGUAUACUAUAGUUGGUAUACAGUAGUGAGGUGUAUAGAAAGGAUUUUUUUUUUUAAAUCAUACUGUUGUACAUUAUGAUUAAGGAUAUAUUUGAUGUUGAAGAAAAGGAAAAAAGAAAUUGUGUAUAGUCUAUAGGAUAAUGUUCUUUUUGUGUUACAGAAAAGAUAUUACAGUAUAAUGGUCUAUAGGUUCUUUUUCAAUUGAAGUUUGAUUGAAUGUUUAUCGAUGAGUAAUUUUAUGUUACAUAGGUACACAUUGGCGCUUUCGGGACGAAAGCUGUUUAAGCGGGGAAACUGUGGGAAUGUGGACUAGUUUAUGUUUUAUGUAGAUCGCGGACUUGUCCGAUUAUGCAAAUUAGUUCGCUACGCGUGUUGCACAUGAUUUUGCGGAUGAAUGAUUUAUUGUGUGGUACGCCGCCCACGUUAAUGUGUUAACAUACAUGUUAGUAUUGAAUCACAUUCAUGUCACGUUCAAUUGCGGAGAGGACGUUGUUGCUGUGCCUGUAGCUAUGUAUUACAGAGUCACGCGGUUUCCUUGUUUUAACGAGGGUUUUGGUUCAACUGUUUGGCAGUAUUUUCGAGGGCAAGAUCAGGACUUGCAUGUUGCAGCUUCUGUUGCUGAGCUGAGCUGAGUUGAUUGCUGAUAGUUUCUUGGUGUCUCCCUUUUCCCCUUCACUUCCUUCUCCACUGUAGUUGAGAGCUUCAGUGGUUUAUUGCUGAAGACUUUGGGGUUUUUUCCCGUUUCUGCGUGCAUGAAUCACCGAGAAUCAACGGUUUAUGAAUUAAAGCACCGGUUACGCUAA